rnacentral:lncRNA from 1 species
GAAUAAAACCAGCACAAUACUCUCUCCUCUCAGGUUUGGGAACAAGGUUAUAGAAACCCUCACCUCACAUAUCAGCCCAGGAGCUUUGGAGAGACAACGGUCCUUCAGCAGUGGCACAAAAGCACAGCCACAUGGGGACCUUCAGGUCCUGUAAGAGAUAUAACAUGGCAUAAACUCAGCAACUUUAGAAAGCAGCUUUUUUUGGAGGUUGGAACUGAGAUGAUUAGGAAGUUUCUUUUCUGUAUGGAUGGAAUCCUAGCUUCAAUUUGACCAUUUCCAAAAGCAACUUGCAUUUCAGGUGCCCAAUGAAAUUCUCAAUGGACGUUUUCAUGAGAUGUUUUUGUUGGACCUUUUGUUCCAUCAGUAUUUCAAAGUUUCUGGCUCUACAUGAAUGAGAAGCAAGUGUUAACUACAUGAGCACAGCCAAGGAGGGCCUCAGUAACUGCAACAAACACCACCAUUACUAUUGUCUGGCUUUGUUAACUAGGAGGCUAGCUAACAGUUUCUCAGUGGAAAAGCAGCAAAUACUAUCCAGCUUGAGAAGGCCUUAUUUCAGAAAACAGAGCCACACAAAGCCAUAAACUGAAGAGGUCUUUUUAGGGAUCUCGCCUACCUUUUCUUCCAAGGUAAGUGACCCUGGACUCAGUCAGUCUUAUCAGCAGUCUCAGGAAAACAGCAGCCUUCCAGACCUGAGGGGACUUCACAGCUACUCCAGAAAAUGCUCGACUUCCAGAUUUCAGAGAGGGCUGGAAAAAGAGCUAUUGGCAGUAAAUACUUCAAAGAAAGACUGAAAUACAUGGUCGCACCACUCCUCUUUGUAUUUCAUUGAAUCACAGAAUGGCUUAGGUUGGAGGGGACCUUAAAGACCAUCCAGUUCCAACGCCCGGCCAUGGGCUGGUUGCUUUCACCAGCUCAGGCUGCCCAGGGCCCCAUCCCACCAGAGUGCCUCCAGGGAUGGGGCACCCACAUCUCCCUGGGCAGCAAUGCCUCAGCACCCCCCAAGGAAAGGAUUUCUUCCUAACGCCUAAUCUAAAUCUCCCCUCUCUUCCUUUAAAGCCAUUCUGCCUUGUUCUAUCACUGUCAGACUGUGUAAAAAAUCGGCCCCUCUCCUGCUUAUAAGCUCCCUUCACCUUGUGAAAGAUUGCAAUGAGGUCUCCCUAGAGCCUUCUCUUCUCCAAGCUAAACAAGCCCUGGAGUUGCUCCAGACUUGGAUAAUCUCCAUGGCCCUCCCCUGGACCUUCUCCAAUACCUCCACAUCCCUCCUGUACUGGGUGCCCCAGGCCUGGACACAGCACUGCUGAUGGGGCUUUCCAAGGGCAGAGCAGAAGGGAACAACCCUGUGCCACCCCUCUGUGGGUGCAAGAGCACCCCUGCUGGGCCGCAAGCACACACUGCUGCCUCAUGUCCCACUUCUAUCCAUCAGGACCCAAAGCUCCUUCUCUGCAGGGCUGCUCUCAAGGAGUUCUCCCAUCCUGUACUCAUACCUGGGAUUAACUUGACCCAAGUGCAGCACCUUGCAUUCAGCCUUGUUCGACUUCAUUUGUUCCUUCCUUUCCCCUCCUAAGGAAUGCUGCUCAGAAAGAGAUGGAGCAGGAGCUGAUUCCACUCUCAUUCCUCUGAAGCAAAGCCCACUUCAGAGCCAGACCCUCUCAGCAUGAAAACAGCAAUGACAGAAAGGGUAUAUUCCAUUUAAGGCUCUCAGAGCAUUGGACACCAGAAGAUACAACAGUUGCUACAGUCAUCACAACAGGAAAUAAUUUAAGUGCACUCUGCCCCCAGAUCACACCUCUGAAGACUCAUGAGGUCUCUGCCAGCAAACCUUAUUGAGGUCAGUAAGAUGACACUGAAAACAUGCAUGGGCAAUGUGGAGCUGCUGGGCAAGGCUUAGAAGUAAGGCUCUAAACUGUACCUAAAAGAUCCUCACAAAUACCCCUGAUAUCAGAUGUCAAAGAGACUAUACAGAACACAUUGUUAAGUGGGGGCCAUUAGUGGCCUCACAUCAUUUCUGCUUUACUGACUUACCAACAGAAACUCUAAAAUUAGUGAAGAAUGUUAAGAACCUCAGCUUAUCUCUCAGGCCUACGCAUUAUUGAUGCUGAGCACGCAUGUACUUCAACCAACUGAAAAAACCCAACAAAUAUGAAUUAUCCACAACAUAAUUGAUCAUGUGCAUCUCUAACUACAUACACAUCUAUGCUGUAGCCAUUGCCUUUUAAGUUAGGUUCCUGAAGGAAGUGAACUGCUGGCUGCUUUACUUUGAAGAUGCAAUAGUUGCUCUUCUAUCUCUUCAAUCCUCUGAGCAAUGCAGUUCCUCUCUAUUUCCAGCAGCAAGGCUUCAUCCCUCUUCGUGGCCCAAGAACCUAACAGUUCCGAAUACCGCUGAGCUCCCCACACUUCUUUGUUGCUUGAAGUCUAUUACAGAAAACCAAAACAAAAGCAGUGUGAAAGUUCAUUGGACGGCAUCAAGGAAUGCCUACACCACUGAGUCCAGGGGGCAAAAAACCUGGGACAGAAUCAACUGCUGCCAGCACUAUGUUCUGCCUAUACAAGAGCAUGGGACGAGCUGCACCAUGCAUGCUGACAGCACCCUUAG